rnacentral:rRNA from 1 species
CCUACGGGAGGCAGCAGUGGGGAAUAUUGGACAAUGGGGGGAACCCUGAUCCAGCCAUGCCGCGUGUGUGAAGAAGGCCCUCGGGUUGUAAAGCACUUUCAGGGAGGAAGAACGCCUGGUGGUUAAUACCCAUCAGGAAAGACAUCACUCACAGAAGAAGCACCGGCUAACUCCGUGCCAGCAGCCGCGGUAAUACGGAGGGUGCGAGCGUUAAUCGGAAUUACUGGGCGUAAAGCGCGCGUAGGUGGCUUGAUAAGCCGGUUGUGAAAGCCCCGGGCUCAACCUGGGAACGGCAUCCGGAACUGUCAAGCUAGAGUGCAGGAGAGGAAGGUAGAAUUCCCGGUGUAGCGGUGAAAUGCGUAGAGAUCGGGAGGAAUACCAGUGGCGAAGGCGGCCUUCUGGACUGACACUGACACUGAGGUGCGAAAGCGUGGGUAGCAAACAGGAUUAGAUACCCGUGUAGUC